GGCGGCGUGCCUAACACAUGCAAGUCGUACGAGAAAGUUGGCUUCGGCCGAUGAGUAAAGUGGCGCACGGGUGAGUAAUGCGUGGAUAAUCUGCCCUUUAGUUGGGAAUAACGUACCGAAAGGUGCGCUAAUACCUGAUAAUACUGCAUAACUACUGUUGUGUAGUCAAAGAAGGCCUCUGUUUACAAGCUUUUGCUGAGGGAUGAGUCCGCGUACCAUUAGCUGGUUGGUGGGGUAAUGGCCUACCAAGGCUACGAUGGUUAGCUGGUCUGAGAGGAUGAUCAGCCACACUGGAACUGAGACACGGUCCAGACUCCUACGGGAGGCAGCAGUGAGGAAUAUUGCGCAAUGGGGGCAACCCUGACGCAGCAACGCCGCGUGAGUGAGGAAGGUUUUCGGACCGUAAAGCUCUGUCGAGCGGGAAGAAAUGUAUCAUGGCUAAUAUCCAUGAUACUUGACGGUACCGCUAAAGGAAGCACCGGCUAACUCCGUG
rnacentral:rRNA from 1 species